GAUGAACGCUGACAGAAUGCUUAACACAUGCAAGUCUUUGGCGAAGCUGUGCUUGCACCGCCUAGCCAAGGCGGACGGGUGAGUAACGCGUAAGGAACUUGCCCUGCAGUCAGGGAUAACAGACGGAAACGACUGAUAAGACCUGGUAAAGUCAGGCGGACUCAUGUCCAGCCUGAUGAAAAGAGAUGCUGCAGGAGAGCCUUGCGUCCUAUUAGCUUGUUGGUGGGGUAACGGCCCACCAAGGCGAUGAUAGGUAGCCGGCCUGAGAGGGUGGACGGCCACAAGGGGACUGAGAUACGGCCCUUACUCCUACGGGAGGCAGCAGUGGGGAAUAUUGGACAAUGGGGGCGACCCUGAGCCAGCAAUUCUGUGUGCACGAUGAAGGUUUUCGGAUGGUAAAGUGCUUUCAGCAGGGAAGAAAAAAUGACGGUACCUGCAGAAGAAGCGACGGCUAAAUACGUG
rnacentral:rRNA from 1 species